rnacentral:rRNA from 1 species
GAUGAACGCUGGCGGCGUGCCUAAUACAUGCAGGUAGAACGCUGAAGGAAGGAGCUUGCUCUUUCCGGAUGAGUUGCGAACGGGUGAGUAACGCGUAGGUGACCUGCCUGGUAGCGGGGGAUAACUAUUGGAAACGAUAGCUAAUACCGCAUAACAGUAGAUGUUGCAUGAUGUCUACUUAAAAGGUGCCAUUGCACCACUACCAGAUGGACCUUCGUUGUAUUAGCUAGUUGGUGAGGUAACGGCUCACCAAGGCGACGAUACAUAGCAGCACUGAGAGGGUGGGCGGCCAGACUGGGACUGAGACACGGCACAGACUCAUACGGGAGGCAGCCGUAGGGAAACGUGGGCCAGGGACGGAAGUCUGGCCGAGCAACGCCGCGGGAGGAAAGAAGGUUGUCGGAUCGUAAAGCUCUGUUGUAAGGGAAGAACGAGUGUGAGAGUGGAAAGUUCACACUGUGACGGUAUCUUAUCAGAAAGCAACGGCUAACUACGUG